rnacentral:rRNA from 1 species
UAUCACCUACGGGAGGCAGCAGUGAGGAAUAUUGGUCAAUGGUCGGGAGACUGAACCAGCCAAGCCGCGUGAGGGAUGAAGGUACAGAGUAUCGUAAACCUCUUUUGUCAGGGAACAAAGGCGGGGACGUGUCCCCGGAUGAGUGUACCUGAAGAAAAAGCAUCGGCUAACUCCGUGCCAGCAGCCGCGGUAAUACGGAGGAUGCGAGCGUUGUCCGGAUUUAUUGGGUUUAAAGGGUGCGUAGGCGGGUUGUCAAGUCAGCGGUAAAAAUUCCGGG